rnacentral:lncRNA from 1 species
UAAAAUAUACAAAAACAAAUAAUAAAAAAAUAAAAAUAAAAGGAAUAUCUAUGACUUACUUUCAUUCAAAGGUAACUAAUACUUGGAUAAUAUUGCAAUUGCAAAAUUUAGAUGUAAAAAAAUAAGUACUUACCAUACCCAUAUAAAAUUUCUCGAUACUAUAUAAAAUUUCUCGAUACCAUUUGAAGGUGCGCUUCACUUUGAUGGUUAAAGCCUUGGCUCUAUACAAACCGCACCAAUAAAAUUUCUCAAGUUCAAUAAAUUGCUUAUGUGCUUACCUGCAACCUCUUUACGGAAAAGCAAUAAUAGAAGGGUGCGGUUUGUAUAGAGCCGAUGCUCUAAACAAUCAAAUUAGAGCCCUCCUUCAAAUAGUGACGAGAAAUAUGGUUUCAAUACUGUAAAGUUUUGCUAUAGACUUAAAUCAUAUUCUCAUCUUUAGAUAUAAAAUUUAAAGCUUCACAAAUAGUAUAGAUCUAGCAGAUCUAUGAAAAUCUUGAAAAUUGACGGUCCAAAAAUGCAUUACAAGAUGCACUAUUUCCUAAACUUGAAAUCCAUAGUUUUCUCAUGUUCAUGCAUCUUGAUGUCCGGAUGAUCAUUGUUUAUGAUAUUUAUUUCCAAAACUUGAAAGCUAUAUUUUUCUCAUGUCCAUACAUCUUGAUAUCUAGAUGAUCACUUUUUAUGAUAUUUGGGCAUCAAAACCACGACUUCUAGUGAAAGUUUUGAGGUAGGCUCUAAUUUGAUUGUUUAGAGCCUAGGUUCUAUAUAAACUAUUCCCAUAAUUAGAAAAAAAAUUACACCCAGGUAUUGCAAGGCAAUUAUCAGCUACUGCCCAGCUAUAUCUUUUUAUUUCUAAAACUAGUACGGUGCUAAGCUGCAUAGUUUCACUCUCAUAUAUCACUAGGAAAAAAAUUGAGUUGAGAAACUUUAGAUCGCUGUUAAGAAAAAAGAUAACAUCAAAUAUUCCAAAAAAAAAAGAAAGAAAGAAAAGAAGAAGAAGAAGAUAAUAUCAAGAAUAAGAAAGUGAUUUUAGGGAUGAGAAAUAAGAUAAUGGGUUUUGCAGUUAUUUUUUAAAAAAUAAAAUUCAGCUCCGGAAAAGAACAAAAAUCCAUAGAGGACUCAAAAUUUGAAUGGGGUUCCUAUGAGUCAGCCGUCUCGUAUUACACAUGUUCC